GGCGAACGCUGGCGGCGUGCUUAACACAUGCAAGUCGAACGGAAAGGCCCUGCUUUUGUGGGGUGCUCGAGUGGCGAAAGGGUGAGUAACACGUGAGUAACCUGCCCUUGACUUUGGGGUAACUUCAGGAAACUGGGGCUAAUACCGGAUAGGAGCUCCUGCUGCAUGGUGGGGGAUGGUAAGUUUGGGCGGUUGGGGAUGGACUCGCGGGUUAUCAGCUUGUUGGUGGGGUAGUGGCUUACCAAGGCUUUGACGGGUAGCCGGCAUGGGGAGGUGACCGGGCCCCAUGGGACUAGGGUAGGGCCCAGUAGGCAACCGGAGGCAACGGGGGGGAAUAUUACACAAUGGGGCGAAGCCUGAGGCAGCAGUGCCGGGUGCGGGAUGACGGCCUUCGGGUUGUAAACCGCUUUCGCCUGUGACGAAGCGUGAGUGACGGUAAUGUGUAAAGAAGCACCGGCUAACUACGUG
rnacentral:rRNA from 1 species